AUUGAACGCUGGCGGCAUGCCUUACACAUGCAAGUCGAACGGCAGCACGGGGCAACCUGGUGGCGAGUGGCGAACGGGUGAGUAAUAUAUCGGAACGUGCCCUGGAGUGGGGGAUAACGCAGCGAAAGUUGCGCUAAUACCGCAUACGAUCUAAGGAUGAAAGUGGGGGAUUCGCAAGAACCUCAUGCUCCUGGAGCGGCCGAUAUCUGAUUAGCUAGUUGGUGGGGUAAAGGCCUACCAAGGCAUCGAUCAGUAGCUGGUCUGAGAGGACGACCAGCCACACUGGAACUGAGACACGGUCCAGACUCCUACGGGAGGCAGCAGUGGGGGAA
rnacentral:rRNA from 1 species